AGUGGUGCAACCCCUCCUAAGGAAAAAAAACCUGGAUCCGCCCCUGCUUUACUUAAACUUACAAGUACAGGCACUUGUUAAUGUUUAUAUUAUCGACUGUAGCUCCAUCGGUUAUAUAAUUACGCAUCCUUCCGGUAUGAGCAAUCAGUGAUGAAAGGAGUACUCAGAACUCGAAGCGGCUCCUCGAAUAUAGAGGAGCGAUCUAUAUUUAUCUCACUAUUUUAAUAUAAGUUGAACGAUCUGACUUUUUUUGUGGAACGACUCUGACCAGAUACCGUUUAAUUUGAAUUGUCCAUUCAUUCAUUCCUCCUGAGAUGAGGAAAAGAGCAAGGUCCUUUAAACUGAAAGGAUAAACGGUCCGGAAACGUCAAUCUCAAAAAUUAAUUCUGAGAAUUUUCCCAAUUUGAGAAAAUCUGAUGUUCUCGACAUUAUUUUUACACAUUCCGAUAUAUUAUAACCAAAUUCCUCAUAUUUUUUUGUGUCUCCCGAUUCCUGCCAAAAUUGCUAUUCUCUGGGUGGAAGAAAGAGGCGUAGAGGGCUGACAUACUUAGUAAUUGCACUCUGGAAUAACUAUUUUUAUUUUUACAUUAAAAAAGAAACCCUGUGUAGGGGUUUUGGUGUUCGAAGGGGUGGGGUUAAAAAUUAUUUUUGUUACUCUUGUAAACUUUUUUUCAAGGUAUGCUUCCUUGUAUUCAAAGGAAAGGCUAGAAAUGCAUUUUGUAGAGAAUUCCAUUUGAAUUCGUCUUUGCACCCAAUUCAUUUAAUUUUGUUGGACUGACUUUUAAUUUACACAAAAUUCAGAAAUUUAAAUACAAGAAAACCACCGUAAUAAAUGCCACAAAGUUAAUCUAGUUUUUCAUUAUAGCUUUCUUGGUUAGCAGGAGAUGUAUAUAAAAACAAAACUGGGAAGAACAAUAAGUCUUGGUUCAGAGAAGGUUUUCGCACAGCUGUGCUCUACCCGGAGCAAUUGCGGUAACCCAAUUGAAAGUUUUAGGAUGCUGAUUGGCCGAAAUGAUCAAAUCCGUUCAUCUGAUUGGCUCACUUCUCUUUGAGCGACGUCCGGUAGGGAUUCGAAUGCAGCGCGCGAGGUUACUCAAGUAGAAAAAGAAAGAGGCAAGCCUUUUCCAAUUCAACAGCUUUCGAGAGCUUUCUUUUGAUAUUCAAAUUUUUCAGCGUCACAAGGGAAUGUCGAGAUCUGGGCGAAUCGGUAAACAAAAGAGAAUUAACGAGGACAAGGCAUGUUUCAAGCACUGGGAAGGAAGUUUCAAGUCCUACAUGUGUCCUAGAAGUGCAAGGACAAUCUUUGAUGAGUGACCACAGUUUGACCAGGUCAGAGUAGCUUCCACAAUUACUUCAAGUCUUUUAACAUUAUUUAGAAAUUUGUAAAUUUAAUAAAUGUAGUAAUGCAUGAAAUACAAUUAUACAGGCUUGCAAGCCCACCAUCCAAGGAUCAUUCCACCAUCUAAAAUUUUUGUUUUGUUUUGUUUAGAAAAAUCCUCCCAGAAUAUUCUAUAUAAAGUAUAUUGCUAUUACAUAAAUUAAUAUCUGAUCUAUGUUGGCUUGAUAUACAUAUAAUUACAUAAUUUUUUGAGUUGACACCUGACAUGAAAUUUAGCUUAACUGAAAGAAAUUUCAUUAUGAUGUGUUAUGGUUGAAGGUAUCAUGUACAGUGCAAAAUGACAUUUAGAUGUUUAAUUUGAAAACUGAAUUUAAAAAUAUUGCAACGAGAAGAACACAGAGAACAAUAUACAGUGCAUGGGAUUGUACUAAUUAUUUCUUAUGACUAUAUGAAAUGAUUCUUACACAUGUUUACAACAUUUAUAUUUUUCUGAUAAAUAAUCUUAUAUAGUCUAUACUCUGAAACAUAUCAGUACUCAAAAUCAGUAGAGAAGAAAAAUAUGAUUUAUAAAUUAAGUCUUUUAUUGACCUGUGGGAAUUCUGAUCUACAACGAGAAAUUGACACCCAGCUUUCCAACAUUUUCAAUAUUAACAGUUCCAAGCUGACAUUUGAUGAGAGUAAAGAAAACCCAUUGUGCUAUUAUGUUACUAAGUUCUCAGAACUUGAAAAUUGAAGAAAUAUAUGACGUUCAAUUCAUGAAGGGGAAUAUUCUUUUGAUCUUGGGAAUGAAGGGUUGAAAAUUAUUUGAAAUAUAAUUUAAAGGGCUUGUAAACCACCGAGGAGCUUAAGCUUGCAGGUUAGUGUUCUUGAGUCAUGGAUUUAAAUCAAAAGUCUAAUGUUCUCCUCAUUAAUUUGCAACCUACAGUUUGACUUCUUGUUAAAUGUAUCAAGUUAGAUGCAUUAAAAGGACUUAAGAGCCUUGCAAUUCAUUGGUCAGCAGGAGUGAAACUGCACCAAAAACAAAUGAUAUCAACUUCCGUUCGCUGUCUGAGGCUCAAAAUGACUAUGAUUCAUCUACCUCCCAGAUACCUCAAUAUCGGUUGAGAGAUGAAUGUUUUUUCCCCUAUAAAAGUCAUGUGGUUUUUGAAAUAUAAGAGGAUUCAGGACACAGGACAAGUAUAGUUUGUGCACAGCGAGAUACAAAUACAACUUUAUGUAGUUCUUAUGUUGUUAAUCCGACCCGUAAUCAAUUAUUUAUAGAAAUGAAUAACCUUGUGGUUAAUAAGUAGACUUGUUCAAUUGAAUGUUAAUUUAUGCAGACGCCGAAGUUUGUUUGGUGUCAGUGAAAGUAACCUUUUGGCAUCAAAACUGUUGUUUGACUUGUGUCGUAAUUAUCUCUGUCGGCUUGAAAACUCCCUGUUCAUGACAGCUUGAAUUUCAAGUUGCUUUUGUUAUCGUUGAACAGGAAACUUUGUGUACACUUAAUGUUAGCUUUCCAAACAACAAGCUGCAUUUUUAGCAGUAGCUCACUAAUUUGUCUCUAGGGAAAGUAUGUUGUAACCUGAUACUUCAGGAAAUAGUUGUGUAGUGAAAAGAAACUUUACAUAAUUUUGUUCAUACCGCAAUGUCUUCUCACCAGGAAGGUAGGAUGUGUUUCUAGAAAAAAUGUUUAGUUUAGCAUCAGUGAUAAAACUACAAUUAAUUACUUACUUCAAAUUACAUGUAAGUUGUGGCUGUUAUUUAAUAAGAUUAUCUUCCAUGCUUACAAUAAUUAAUAUACACAAUGUUAUUACUAACUUACAUGUAUGAAAAGUUAAAAUGUAGUACUAAUAAGGGUUCCAAAACUGAUGCAUUUUUGACACAAAUAUUUAUUGAAAACGGUUUACUUAGACGAUAUAGAACUUACUAAAAUAAUAGUUACUGUAGCAAGAAAUGUUGCAAUUUUGAAACUGAUAUUCAACCUAAAAGUGAAAUGUAGACUUUUCCGUUUAUUAUUGAGUCAGCAGAUGUGAUUUACUGUCAAGAUUUAUGUAUGUUAUCAGAUAUUAACAGAAUGUUUGAAAAGGUCAGACCAUUAUUGUUUAAUAUUGCAGUUGUCCUCUUGGAAUGAUUGUGAUGAUUUCAACUGUACUCUAGAGAUUCUGAAGAGUUUAAAUCAUUGUUUAGAGCAGAGAAAGCCUUUUAUUUGGAGUUUAUUUUAUCAUAAUUGGCAGUUUACAGUUGAUUUUAGACCUCCAAAGUGAGCGGGCUUUUUUUUUGAAAUUCUUGUGUUGUCAAAGAAAUAGCAUUCUUCAUGUAAAAGUUAUUAUGGACAAAUUUUGAACUCUCUGAGAAUACUUGUGAUCUAUUUCUCCGACAUAUUGAGCUUGUCUGGUAUUUGGAAAACUGGAAAUAUUCAUUAUUCUCUUAAGUUUGAAUUGUUGUGGCCAGAAAAAGAAUCACUAAUUUGGCUUUCUUAAUUGACCCCAAAAAAAUUCGUAAAAAAUAGAGUUCUGCUGAUUCAAGUAUCCAAACAUUACAACCUUGAAAUCAGCCCAACUAAGUAUGAAAAUUUGUACUG
rnacentral:lncRNA from 1 species